rnacentral:rRNA from 1 species
UACGGGGGGGGCAAGCGUUGUUCGGAAUUACUGGGCGUAAAGGGCUCGUAGGCGGCCAACUAAGUCGGAUGUGAAAUCCCCAGGCUCAACCUGGGAACUGCAUCCGAUACUGGAUGGCUUGAAUUCGGGAGAGGGAUGCAGAAUUCCAGGUGUAGCGGUGAAAUGCGUAGAUAUCUGGAGGAAUACCGGUGGCGAAAGCGCUCUGCUAGGCCGCAACUGACACUGAGGGACGAAAGCUAGGGGAGCGAAUGGG